rnacentral:rRNA from 1 species
ACGGGCGGAGUGUACAAGACCCGGGAACGUAUUCACCGCGACAUUCUGAUUCGCGAUUACUAGCGAUUCCAGCUUCAUGCAGUCGAGUUGCAGACUGCAAUCCGAACUGGGACGUUAUUUUUGGGAUUCGCUCCCCCUCGCGGGCUCGCUUCCCUUUGUUUACGCCAUUGUAGCACGUGUGUAGCCCAAAUCAUAAGGGGCAUGAUGAUUUGACGUCAUCCCCACCUUCCUCCAGGUUCUCCCUGGCAGUCUCUCCAGAGUGCCCAGCUUUACCUGCUGGCUACUGAACAUAAGGGUUGCGCUCGUUGCGGGACUUAACCCAACAUCUCACGACACGAAGCUGACGACAACCAUGCACCACCUGUCUUGCCUGUCCCGAAGGAAAUAUACGUUACAUAUACUGUCAGGCAGAUGUCAAGACUUGGGUAAGGUUCUUCGCGUUGCUUCCAAUUAAACAAAUGCUCCAACGCUUGUGCGGGU